CGGGGCGUGGCUCAGCCUGGUAGAGCGCUGCGUUCGGGACGCAGAGGUCGCAAGUUCAAAUCUUGUCGCCCCGA
rnacentral:tRNA from 4 species